rnacentral:rRNA from 1 species
GCUUGCUCUCAUGAAGUUAGCGGCGGACGGGUGAGUAACACGUGGGUAACCUGCCCAUAAGACUGGGAUAACUCCGGGAAACCGGGGCUAAUACCGGAUAACAUUUUGAACUGCAUGGUUCGAAAUUGAAAGGCGGCUUCGGCUGUCACUUAUGGAUGGACCCGCGUCGCAUUAGCUAGUUGGUGAGGUAACGGCUCACCAAGGCAACGAUGCGUAGCCGACCUGAGAGGGUGAUCGGCCACACUGGGACUGAGACACGGCCCAGACUCCUACGGGAGGCAGCAGUAGGGAAUCUUCCGCAAUGGACGAAAGUCUGACGGAGCAACGCCGCGUGAGUGAUGAAGGCUUUCGGGUCGUAAAACUCUGUUGUUAGGGAAGAACAAGUGCUAGUUGAAUAAGCUGGCACCUUGACGGUACCUAACCAGAAAGCCACGGCUAACUACGUGCCAGCAGCCGCGGUAAUACGUAGGUGGCAAGCGUUAUCCGGAAUUAUUGGGCGUAAAGCGCGCNCAGGUGGUUUCUUAAGUCUGAUGUGAAAGCCCACGGCUCAACCGUGGAGGGUCAUUGGAAACUGGGAGACUUGAGUGCAGAAGAGGAAAGUGGAAUUCCAUGUGUAGCGGUGAAAUGCGUAGAGAUAUGGAGGAACACCAGUGGCGAAGG